rnacentral:rRNA from 1 species
UACAGAGGGUGCGAGCGUUGUUCGGAAUUAUUGGGCGUAAAGGGCGCGUAGGCGGUGCGGUAAGUCACCUGUGAAAUCUCCUGGCUCAACUGGGAGCUUGCAGGCGAAACUGCCGUGCUGGAGUGUGGGAGAGGUGCGUGGAAUUCCUGGUGUAGCGGUGAAAUGCGUAGAUAUCUGGAGGAACACCGGUGGCGAAGGCGGCAUCCUGGACCGAGAUUGACGCUGAGGCGCGAAAGCCAGGGGAGCAAACGGG